rnacentral:rRNA from 1 species
GCUCAGAAACUCAAAGGAAUUGACGGGGCCCGCACAAGCGGUGGAGUAUGUGGUUUAAUUCGAUGCAACGCGAAGAACCUUACCUGGUCUUGACAUCCCGGAGACCCUUAGGAAACUAGGGGGUGCUUCCAUCUGGAAGAAUCUGGAGACAGGUGCUGCAUGGCUGUCGUCAGCUCGUGUCGUGAGAUGUUGGGUUAAGUCCCGCAACGAGCGCAACCCUUGCCUUUAGUUGCCAGCAGUUCGGCUGGGCACUCUAAAGGGACUGCCGGUGUUAAACCGGAGGAAGGUGGGGAUGACGUCAAGUCCUCAUGGCCUUUAUGACCAGGGCUACACACAUACUACAAUGGCCGAUACAAAGGGCAGCGACACUGCGAGGUGAAGCCAAUCCCGUAAAAUCGGUCUCAGUCCGGAUUGGAGUCUGCAACUCGACUCCAUGAAGUUGGAAUCGCUAGUAAUCGUGGAUCAGCAUGCCACGGUGAAUACGUUCCCGGGCCUU